rnacentral:rRNA from 1 species
CACGUAGGGCGCAAGCGUUGUCCGGAAUUAUUGGGCGUAAAGAGCUCGUAGGCGGUCUGUUGCGUCCGCUGUGAAAACUCGGGGCUUAACCCCGAGCCUGCAGUGGAUACGGGCAGACUAGAGGUAGGUAGGGGAGAAUGGAAUUCCCGGUGUAGCGGUGAAAUGCGUAGAGAUCGGAAAGAACACCAACGGCGAAAGCACUCUGCUGGGCCGACACUGACACUGAGAGACGAAAGCUAGGGGAGCGAAUGGG